rnacentral:rRNA from 1 species
UACGAAGGGGGCUAGCGUUGUUCGGAAUUACUGGGCGUAAAGCGCACGUAGGCGGAUUUGUAAGUCAGGGGGGAAAUCCCGGGGCUCAACCUCGGAACUGCCUUUGAUACUGCAAGUCUCGAGUCCGAUAGAGGUGAGUGGAAUUCCUAGUGUAGAGGUGAAAUUCGUAGAUAUUAGGAAGAACACCAGUGGCGAAGGCGGCUCACUGGAUCGGUACUGACGCUGAGGUGCGAAAGCGUGGGGAGCAAACAGG